AUUGAACGCUAGCGGGAUGCUUUACACAUGCAAGUCGAACGGCAGCGCGGACUUCGGUCUGGCGGCGAGUGGCGAACGGGUGAGUAAUGUAUCGGAACGUGCCCAGUAGCGGGGGAUAACUACGCGAAAGCGUAGCUAAUACCGCAUACGCCCUACGGGGGAAAGCAGGGGAUCGUAAGACCUUGCACUAUUGGAGCGGCCGAUAUCGGAUUAGCUAGUUGGUGAGGUAAUGGCUCACCAAGGCGACGAUCCGUAGCUGGUUUGAGAGGACGACCAGCCACACUGGGACUGAGACACGGCCCAGACUCCUACGGGAGGCAGCAGUGGGGAAUUUUGGACAAUGGGGGCAACCCUGAUCCAGCCAUCCCGCGUGUGCGAUGAAGGCCUUCGGGUUGUAAAGCACUUUUGGCAGGAAAGAAACGUCGCGGGCUAAUACCCCGUGGAACUGACGGUACCUGCAGAAUAAGCACCGGCUAACUACGUG
rnacentral:rRNA from 1 species